AGGUGUAUCUAGCCUAAUUCACGAGACUCCGUAAGAACUAUGAAGUUGAGCUUGUUUGGGCUAGAGAAGUACUAGGAUGAGUGAUAUCACGCGAAUCAUUGUGCACCUC
rnacentral:rRNA from 1 species